GAUGAACGCUGGCGGCGUGCCUAAUACAUGCAAGUCGAGCGAACGGACGAGAAGCUUGCUUCUCUGAUGUUAGCGGCGGAAGGGUGAGUAACACGUGGAUAACCUACCUAUAAGACUGGGAUCACUUCGGGAAACCGGAGCUAAUACCGGAUAAUAUUUUGAACCGCAUGGUUCAAAAGUGAAAGACGGUCUUGCUGUCACUUAUAGAUGGAUCCGCGCUGCAUUAGCUAGUUGGUAAGGUAACGGCUUACGAAGGCAACGAUGCAUAGCCGACCUGAGAGGGUGAUCGGCCACACGGGAACUGAGACACGGUCCAGACUCCUACGGGAGGCAGCAGUAGGGAAUCUUCCGCAAUGGGCGAAAGCCUGACGGAGCAACGCCGCGUGAGUGAUGAAGGUCUUCGGAUCGUAAAACUCUGUUAUUAGGGAAGAACAUAUGUGUAAGCAACUGUGCACAUCUUGACGGUACCUAAUCAGAAAGCCACGGCUAACUACGUG
rnacentral:rRNA from 1 species